rnacentral:rRNA from 1 species
AUGGAGUCAGGAAUAUCUCGUUCUUGGAAAAUUGUUUCAUCGGAGUUGGCAACUGCAAGUCUGCAACAUCAGAUGAUACACGGAAGGAGGAAGAAAGAAGGCCACGAUGUCUGGUGCUUCCCUGUGAUCCCUUGGGCCCAUGGUGCAGUUCCUGACGUGAUUGCGGCCACACCGGACUUCAGCUCUGUGUUCCACGUCGUGGUUCCCGGCGGCGCUCGGGCCUGGCUCGACUGUCCGCUCGUCGCGCCGUGGAAUGUUGAGUUCACGGACGGCAAAGAUUUUCUCUGCAUUUGUGGCACCAACAGUGGUCUCCGAAUUACGACUCCUACAUGUGUGGAUGUAUCUUGUCCUUAA